rnacentral:rRNA from 1 species
CAACCCAAGGCAAGGCGGACUACCCGCUGAGUUUAAGCAUA